AGUCGAGCGGGGAAGGUAGCUUGCUACCUGACCUAGCGGCGGACGGGUGAGUAAUGCUUAGGAAUCUGCCUAUUAGUGGGGGACAACAUCUCGAAAGGGAUGCUAAUACCGCAUACGUCCUACGGGAGAAAGCAGGGGACCUUCGGGCCUUGCGCUAAUAGAUGAGCCUAAGUCGGAUUAGCUAGUUGGUGGGGUAAAGGCCUACCAAGGCGACGAUCUGUAGCGGGUCUGAGAGGAUGAUCCGCCACACUGGGACUGAGACACGGCCCAGACUCCUACGGGAGGCAGCAGUGGGGAAUAUUGGACAAUGGGGGGAACCCUGAUCCAGCCACGCCGCGUGUGUGAAGAAGGCCUUUUGGUUGUAAAGCACUUUAAGCGAGGAGGAGGCUACCGAGAUUAAUACUCUUGGAUAGUGGACGUUACUCGCAGAAUAAGCACCGGCUAACUCUGUGCCAGCAGCCGCGGUAAUACAGAGGGUGCAAGCGUUAAUCGGAUUUACUGGGCGUAAAGCGCGCGUAGGUGGCCAAUUAAGUCAAAUGUGAAAUCCCCGAGCUUAACUUGGGAAUUGCAUUCGAUACUGGUUGGCUAGAGUAUGGGAGAGGAUGGUAGAAUUCCAGGUGUAGCGGUGAAAUGCGUAGAGAUCUGGAGGAAUACCGAUGGC
rnacentral:rRNA from 1 species